rnacentral:rRNA from 1 species
GACGAACGCNGGCGGCGUGCUUAACACAUGCAAGUCGAACGGAGCGAAUGAAAGCUUGCUUUUAUAAGCUUAGUGGCAAACGGGUGAGUAACACGUAGACAACCUGCCGACAGGAUGGGGACAACAUUCCGAAAGGAAUGCUAAUACCGAAUGAAGUGCAGGGGAGGCAUCUCCCCUGCAUGAAAGAUGGCCUCUUUUUAUGCUAUCACCUGUUGAUGGGUCUGCGUCUGAUUAGCUGGUAGGUGAGGUAACGGCUCACCUAGGCGACGAUCAGUAGCCGGUCUGAGAGGAUGAACGGCCACAUUGGGACUGAGACACGGCCCAGACUCCUACGGGAGGCAGCAGUGGGGAAUCUUCCGCAAUGGGCGCAAGCCUGACGGAGCAACGCCGCGUGAGUGAAGAAGGUCUUCGGAUCGUAAAGCUCUGUUGAUGGGGACGAACGUGCCUAAUGCGAAUAGUAUUAGGUAANGAC